rnacentral:tRNA from 1 species
GGAUUUAGCUCAGUGGUACAGUACUUGCCUGGCAAGUAUGAGGUCCUGAGUUCAAUUCCCGGUAACUCCC